rnacentral:rRNA from 1 species
CAGUCGUACCUGCGGAUAAUCAGCCUUUCGGGUGCGAUUCUGAGAGGCGUGAGGAGCUUAACCGCCUUCAUGUUUUGCAUAUUCGUGCACAUUUGGUGUACUUGUCCGUGUGGUGGGUUAACAUCAAUUUCGGUCGUCAUAAAAUGGCUGGAGGAAUGUAGCUUUGAUCUCAUUAUCGAAGUGUUAU